AUGCUUGCUUCAGCAACAUAUAUACUAAAAUUGGAAAGAUAUAGAGAAGAUUAGCAUGGUCCCUGUGCAAGGAUAACACACAAAUUCACGAAGCACUUCAUAUUUUU
ensembl:snRNA U6 U6 spliceosomal RNA